UUAAUGUGUUUUUCACAUAUUACAGUUCGCUGGUUCUCGUUCAUUAACCGAAGAUAAAUAUACAUCAAUCGUUCGUCUACGUAAGCAUGUGUAAACAACGUAUUGGCUUUAGACAAUGACUCUGUGAUAGUGUUUAUCUUGAUACAACAUUUAUACAUUUGCUCUCGUUUACAACCAUAUUUUUCACAAAAGAACGAAACACAGUGAACUGUAUAUCCAUUUCAGUAGAGAAUACUAAAACUCAAACUCAAGGGUUACUGUUUAUUAACUGUAUAUCGGCUUCUGUACAGUGAAACUUUGAAAGUGCAGUCUUGCCCUUUCGAUUCGUCCAUCAUCGGUGGAUGUUUUGGCUUUAGUUGUUCUGGAUCUUUCUUUUGGUUUCGGCUAUUCUCUCUCACAUAUCUCCAAUUCCUUUGUUUUUCGCCGUCCGUUUUGCUCCGCCUUGGCUUCUGUUUUCUUCAUCGUCUUGUCGUUGUUGAAAAUAUUGACUGUUUUCCUUAGUUGUUCUUCGAUUAGUAGUAAGGGUUGUUAAUUUCUCUGCCUUUUUGGUUUGAUUCCAAUAAUUUUUUUGGGUUUUUGAUUGGUUUGAUCUGUGUUUUCUUAGUAAGUUCUGCAUGUGUUGCCGCACAAGGUUUUUUUGAUUUCAGAAAUUUUGUGCCCAUUUUGGAUUCGCUUCGAACUUGGUUGAGAUCCAUCUAAUCCGGCGUUUCCAGGUGAGUUUUGCAUGUUUGAUGGUUUGUUUUUCAGAUCGUUUUUGUGCAUGUUUGAUGCGUUUUGUUUUUCAGUUUCGGGAUUCAUUUCUUGGAUGUUUGCCGAAGAAACGAUUGGCCUGAAAGAGAGGAAGGCAUUUCUGGGAUUAUACUUGGGAAACAAGACGAUAUUGACAGGGUUGAUAGUUCUGACUCUGCUGACAAUGAUGUUGGGGAUAAGGAGUUGGCAAAACCCCUUGAACCAUCUCACGUGUACCUCUCUAAUGCUGAGGUUCAGAUCAAUUCCGGAAGGAUUCCAAUCUGGCAAAAGUCUAAGGUAGAUCCUUUCAUUUAUGUCUUAGAUAUAUUUCUAUACAAUGAGUCCGUCUGCUGCUGGUGAGUGAGCUAAAUUUUGGUAAAGAUGUAACCGGCAAAGAGAUGGAAAUAGAGACGGUUCCUGUUCACGAGGUUGAAAUGAGGCAGAAAGAUUUGCUACCUGUUGUUCAUCCGUUUCAUAGGUUUCAGUCUGACUGGAAUGGCAGGUUUCUUAUUGGAGCAGGAUGCUUGAGUUCAUCUUCUGAUUCUCACGAAGAUAAAGAAAAGUUUCAGGAAAAAUCUUGGUAGUUCUGGUGAGAAUUUUACACCUAUAGGCUUCAGCUAUAAACCCAAUGCUGGUAAGAAUUCUGGUAUUUCUGAUGUAAUAUUAUUAUUAUUAUUGUUUUACGAGUACAAGAGGAUUUUCUAAUACAACCGUUUCAAUUUCGUUUAUGUGAUUUUGGAUUUGCAAAUUUGUUUUCUGUUCAAAUUUCCUUUUGUGAUUUUGGAGGGUUUUGUUUUUAAAUUGAUCCUCUUCUGAGCUCAGGAUGGUGAUCCUUUUGACCAGUCUAUCUAGGCCGUUCAAAUUUAAUUUAACAACUACAAUUAUUAUAACUUUUAAAAAAACUUACCUAUUUGGAACCGUUAAAUUAAAAUUGAACGAUUCAGAUAAGUUGGUGAAGAUCUAGAGAGGAUCCUCUUCCCUCUCACUCAUCUCCCGGCUCUCUCUCUCUCGCUUUUCUGCUAGAUGUCAAUGUUUUCGAAAGUGGCCCAAAGACUUUUCUUCUAGAUGUCAAUGUUUUCAAAAGUGGCCGAAAGCAGAGUGUGACAGAAAGCACAGCCGUGACAGCCUCCUUCCUAGCCGAGGGCUGUGUGUGUGAGCACACAAAAGUCUUGAAGUUGUAUGAACUUGUCAAAAGUUGGAAGACUUUUGUUCACCUUUCUUUUUUAUUUGUUUUUGCAUGUAUUAGUCUUUUGCGGUUUACAGUGCAGGCAUCCUUUUUUUUUUUGGUAAACUGGAAUUCAUAAUCAGGUAGAGAUGCCAAAACAUACACUGAAAGCCCAAAACGAGGCAAACAACCAAAAAACAAUGCCGGAAGUGCAAGGGAAAGAAACUUCGACACUACCAGGAAGCAGUAGUGUCACCUCUUGCCUAUUCAAUUUAUUUGAUUCAUAAACAUUAGUGUACAUUUAUAUUAUUGGACUAUCUGUCAUAAGAAAAUUGUUGUCUGGA